UACGUAGGGGCUAGCGUUGCUCGGAAUCACUGGGCGUAAAGCGCACGUAGGCGGAUACUUAAGUCAGGGGUGAAAUCCCGGGGCUCAACCCCGGAACUGCCUUUGAUACUGGGUAUCUCGAGUCCGGAAGAGGUGAGUGGAAUUCCGAGUGUAGAGGUGAAAUUCGUAGAUAUUCGGAAGAACACCAGUGGCGAAGGCGACUGACUGGACAAGUAUUGACGCUGAGGUACGAAAGCGUGGGGAGCAAACAGG
rnacentral:rRNA from 1 species